CAGCAGCCGCGGUAAUACAGAGGGUGCGAGCGUUAAUCGGAUUUACUGGGCGUAAAGCGUGCGUAGGCGGCUUUUUAAGUCGGAUGUGAAAUCCCUGAGCUUAACUUAGGAAUUGCAUUCGAUACUGGGAAGCUAGAGUAUGGGAGAGGAUGGUAGAAUUCCAGGUGUAGCGGUGAAAUGCGUAGAGAUCGGGAGGAACAUCAGUGGCGAAGGCGGCCAUCUGGGACAACACUGACGCUGAGGCACGAAAGCGUGGGGAGCAAACAGGAUUAGAUACCCGUGUAGUCCCUGUCUCUUAUAC
rnacentral:rRNA from 1 species